ensembl:lncRNA
AUCUUGUUAAACACCACAAUAACCACCGUUUAUGCAGUCACCUACCCGCAGUGAUUUGCCCUUACAUGGCCUAACAGCGAUGAAAGGAGCACAGAAAGUGGAGGGGAGAUAUGCCUCUGAAAGGCAGUCACUAUAUCCACAGUUUCAUGCUGAGGAAGCUCUAAAAGGCUGGUUUCAGUCAAUUAGCCCAGCCUCACAACCCCAGAGGUGGCAAUCUUGUGCUCACAUGGCCCAUCAGGGGCGACCUUCACAUGAGGGACUGAGCUUCACCGCACUAUGGCCAAGCCCUGGGGUGGGAAACUGCCUACACUGGCCAGGGUCAGGACAGUGUGAGAGUGAUGGCACGGAAACCUGUCAUAGCCAUUGCUUCUACGUAACUGUUGUUGUGAAGAAGCUCAGACAGCAUGAUGAACGUCAGCCCACCAAAGAAAUCUUCUGCUGUUCAUUGCUGCUUCAGAUUGUCAGCCCUGAAGGACUGCUAACACUGUCUACCCUCUGGAUUUGUAAGGAGUAAUUAGCAUUGAUAAAUAUUCAUCGCAGAUGUGAAAUGAUUUGUUUCAUAAUCUUCUUUGAGCUGUUUGAUUUUCUUUGAUUAAAUGGUUAGCUUGAGUGAUCGUUUUCAGCAGAAUUUGAGCAGCUAGGUGAAGAAAUCCCCAAGAAGCAGCUCUCUUUCCCUCCUCCUUCUCUCCACGCCAUGAAAACUUCACCCUUUAUUUCC